UCAAAAACAUCGCCUCCUGAUACUACCAUAGGAGGUCUAGCCUGCCCAGUGACAUUGUUCAACGGCCGCGGUAUCCUAACCGUGCGAAGGUAGCGUAAUCAUUUGUUCUUUAAAUGAGGACUAGUAUGAACGGCUUCACGAGGGCUAUACUGUCUCCUUUUUCUAAUCAAUGAAACUAAUCUCCUCGUGAAGAAGCGAGGAUACACUUAUAAGACGAGAAGACCCUAUGGAGCUUUAAACAAUUGAAAUACUUGCUUACAAUUUUCAUUCUUCCCGAAAACAUUACUCAACUAAGCACUUUAUUCAUAGUUUUAGGUUGGGGUGACCACGGAGUAUAAAUCCACCUCCAUGCUGAAAGAAGUUUUUCUUCUUAUCAAAGAGCUUCAGCUCAAUGCAUCAAUAAAUUGACUCCCAUUGACCCAAUAUUUUUGAUCAACGAACCAAGUUACCCUAGGGAUAACAGCGCAAUCUAUUUCAAGAGCUCAUAUCGACAAAUAGGUUUACGACCUCGAUGUUGGAUCAGGGUAUCCUAGU
rnacentral:rRNA from 1 species